rnacentral:rRNA from 1 species
UACAGAGGGGGCAAGCGUUAAUCGGAAUUACUGGGCGUAAAGCGUGCGCAGGCGGUUGUGCAAGACAGAUGUGAAAUCCCCGGGCUUAACCUGGGAACUGCAUUUGUGACUGCACGGCUAGAGUGUGUCAGAGGGGGGUAGAAUUCCACGUGUAGCAGUGAAAUGCGUAGAUAUGUGGAGGAAUACCGAUGGCGAAGGCAGCCCCCUGGGAUAACACUGACGCUCAUGCACGAAAGCGUGGGGAGCAAACAGG